AACGGCUGGCGGCGUGCUUAACACAUGCAAGUCGAACGAGAAUCUGAGGAUCGAGGAUUCGUCCAAGUGAAGCAGAGGACAGUGGCGGACGGGUGAGUAACGCGUGAGGAACCUGCCUUUCAGAGGGGGACAACAGUUGGAAACGACUGCUAAUACCGCAUGAUACAUUUGGGUGGCAUCAUCUGAAUGUCAAAGAUUUAUCGCUGAAAGAUGGCCUCGCGUCUGAUUAGCUAGUUGGUGAGGUAACGGCCCACCAAGGCGACGAUCAGUAGCCGGACUGAGAGGUUGACCGGCCACAUUGGGACUGAGAUACGGCCCAGACUCCUACGGGAGGCAGCAGUGGGGAAUAUUGGGCAAUGGGCGCAAGCCUGACCCAGCAACGCCGCGUGAAGGAAGAAGGCUUUCGGGUUGUAAACUUCUUUUAAGAGGGAAGAGCAGAAGACUGUACCUCUAGAAUAAGCCACGGCUAACUACGUG
rnacentral:rRNA from 1 species